rnacentral:sRNA from 1 species
CACAAUUGUUGAUGAAGUUCAUAUCAUUGUGAUGAAACCCAAUAAGAAUGAUGGUUUAGAACCCCAAGAUUGUG